rnacentral:lncRNA from 1 species
UAAUGUUGUUUCCCAAGAAGAAUUUGACGGAUUGAGUAAACAAAUUACAGACUUGGCUGUUCUACUGAAAGAAUUACACCAGUCCACUCAGGGUACGAAGAUACCUACACAUACAGAAUCAUCUACACAAGGAGGAGUUCAAGGUCUGAAAAAAACAAUUCCAGAACCUCAGUUGGAUACGACCAACAAAGACCCUGAAAACACCCAUCUCAGAGGAGAUCCAGACACCGGUGAUAUUAGGAAAAAG